GGUACGUGUUCCGGAUGUGGGGUGAGCGGUUGGAAAACGACGCCAUGCAACACGCAAACGUAAACACUGCGUAGAAAUGGGACACUAGAACGCAAACUACAGCUUGCGUUUACUCCCAUUACAAGUGUGACAUGUCAGUCUGCGCUUAAGGAUUGAUACAGAGGUAUUUUAGUGGGGAAGAUGACCAAGCUAAGUGGUGGUGGAAUGCUGUAGCUGACAGAAAGGGACCCGACCAACACUUAGGGAAAGAAGAAGGUUGUGACCCUAUCUACUCUGUGUAUUCUGACUAUGCAUACCGUGGUGACCGGACGUGGUGCCUGCGUGGUAUAUGUGUGGGGUUCUGUGGUGGACUGGUGUUAUUAGGUUGAGGGGCAGCCUGUUGCUUGGACACACUCUAAGGUGGAUAUCUGGCCACCUGUGUAGAUUGGUGGCUUCAAGGACAUUGUAUACUAAGAUGGAUAGCUGCCCAUUGAUAUGAUGUUCUCUGUAUAAAUACAUGUAAUUAACUGUGUGAAUGUGAGUGUGGAUGUAAUAUACUUUUGUUCUUAAUAUAUGUGGGAAUUAAAUAUUGUAAAUAAUGUAAA